UGAACAGCUCUGGAGAAUGCAUCUAGCCACAGAAAAGGUACAGCAUUCAUAGCAACAGACCAAUCUUCCCCACACUGUCCUGCCAAUCUGCCUCUACCUACACUCAGAGACUGCUGCUAUGGCCACCUGCUAGUUCAUCAUAAGUCAGG
rnacentral:sRNA from 1 species